UAUCAGAAAUUUUGCCUUUUUGCUCUGUAUGCUAAUGUCUGUCUCCAUCUUCAGAUUCACAUGUUACCAGAUUCCAUGCUUAACCUGCCCUGAUUGCUAGUCUGCCCAUUUUGCUUUACACCACAUGGUCUCCAAACAAUUCCAACUCCACUCUUCAGCCAGCCAGACUUGCCAGCUCACUCCAACCACCCCUCUCUGGAUAUUCCCACCCUGAGACUCAAAACCAUCCAUAUUCUGUGUUAAAGUGUUAAAACAUAACUGCCUGUCUCCAGUCUGUUUUUGGGUUCUAGCCACCAAUCCUGACUCCAUUAUAGUUCCUGACCAUAAAUCCUCUGCGGCUCUGCUACCAGUAUACCAGUCUACAUGUUUUUGAUUGAUCAUAUGCGCCAACAUCGUGUGACUGCUUAGCAUUAUUGCAAUGCAAUUGUUAAGGUAAAUGAAGCCAGAUGGCAGAAAGAGAUCCUGUGAAUGUUAACUUGCUUUGUAGUAGUGGGAAUGCAGCUAGAGGAGACACAGUGCCAGACUGUGAGUCCGCUGAUUUGGCUUUUAUUGCUGUGAUUGAAUUGAUGAUUUGGACAUUUUAAAGGGGAAGAAAGGCACAAAGGAAGCAUUUCAGUAGUUCCUGCUCUAACUGACAGAAAGUCUGGUUAUUGUUGUGUGGAGAGUGCACAGGAGGUUACUCAGGAGGUGACUCACUGACCUAUCCUCCUUCAGAAGCUUUGAUGCGAGAGGCUUCAUACAGCCCUGCUGUGCCAGUGGACCAGCCAUCUACCAUGCUUGAGACAAGAAACUCUGCUCAUUUGCCUGCCAGCCAUACUUCUGAUAUUCUAUGUCUUCAGACAACCAAACCAGCUCAAUCUGCCACCUAUUCCCCUUGAUCUCUCUCUCCCAAAUUUGAGCCCCACUCUGUCAGCCAAACCUGCCAGCUCUCCCCGACUCCAGAAACUCUGGAUUUAAACCCAAAAACCCCAGCCCCAC